rnacentral:rRNA from 1 species
UACGUAGGGAGCGAGCGUUGUCCGGAUUUAUUGGGCGUAAAGAGCUCGUAGGUGGUUCAGCAAGUCGGGUGUGAAAGCUCUGGGCUCAACCCAGAGAUGCCACCCGAUACUGCUGUGACUAGAGUCAGGUAGGGGAUCGCGGAAUUCCAGGUGUAGCGGUGAAAUGCACAGAUAUCUGGAGGAACACCAGCGGCGAAGGCGGCGAUCUGGGCCUGUACUGACACUGAGGAGCGAAAGCGUGGGGAGCGAACAGG